rnacentral:rRNA from 1 species
UCCCAGACUCCUACGGGAGGCAGCAGUGGGGGAUAUUGCACAAUGGGGGCAACCCUGAUGCAGCGACGCCGCGUGAGCGAUGGAGUACUUCGGUAUGUAAAGCUCUGUCAGCAGGGAAGAGAAUGACGGUACCUGACCAAGAAGCCCCGGCUAAAUACGUGCCAGCAGCCGCGGUAAUACGUAUGGGGCAAGCGCUAUCCGGAUUUACUGGGUGUAAAGGGAGCGCAGGCGGUACGGCAAGUCUGAUGUGAAAGCCCGGGGCUCAACCCCGGUACUGCAUUGGAAACUGUCGGACUAGAGUGUCGGAGGGGUAAGUGGAAUUCCUAGUGUAGCGGUGAAAUGCGUAGAUAUUAGGAGGAACACCAGUGGCGAAGGCGGCUUACUGGACGAUUACUGACGCUGAGGCUCGAAAGCGUGGGGAGCAAACAGGAUUAGAUACCCGCGUAAA